UGGGGAAUUUUGCACAAUGGGGGAAACCCUGAUGCAGCGACGCCGCGUGAUUUAGAAGGCCUUCGGGUUGUAAAAAUCUUUUCUAUGGGAAGAAAAUGACAGUACCAUAGGAAUAAGGACCGGCUAAUUACGUGCCAGCAGCCGCGGUAAUACGUAAGGUCCGAGCGUUGUCCGGAAUCAUUGGGCGUAAAGGGUACGUAGGCGGGUAAGCAAGUUAGAAGUGAAAUCCUGUAGCUCAACUACAGUAAGCUUUUAAAACUGCUCAUCUUGAGAUAUGGAAGGGAAAGUGGAAUUCCUAGUGUAGCGGUGAAAUGCGCAGAUAUUAGGAGGAAUCCCGGUGGCGAAGGCGACUUUCUGGCCAUAAUCUGACGCUGAGGUACGAAAGCGUGGGUAGCAAACAGG
rnacentral:rRNA from 1 species